UCAGAGAGUCCGGCAGCUGGCGGAAAACACACGGUACUUCCGAAGAAGACUCCACGAACUCGGCUUCAUCAUUUACGGCAACCAAGAUUCUCCUGUUGUCCCCCUGCUUUUGUACGUCCCUGGUAAAAUUGGGGCUUUCUCUAGACGCAUGUUAUCAAAAAAUAUUGGGGUGGUUGUCGUCGGCUUCCCAGCAACCUCGCUCACAGAAGCCAGGGCUCGUUUUUGCAUCUCAGCUGCUCACACUCGAGAGAUGUUAGACAAGGUUCUGCAAGCUCUGGACGAACUGGGUGACUUCUUGACUCUGAAAUACUCCCAGCAUUCCAAGCCGUAUCGUCCGGAACUGUACAACGGAACAAGCUUUGAAGUUGAAGGUUAAGCUCCCGUCCCAUGAAGAAGACCCAUUGCCAGGGGGGAGAUAAGGAAACCUAUAACAAUAGGAAAGCAUUUCUUCUGUUCGAAAGACAGUUUUUGCUUCUCUGUUAACUCAGUCGAGGGAAGCCCUGUAAUGUGCGUUACUGGGUCGGAUUCUGUGGGCAAGAGACUGGAAUAUUGCCACGGGUUUAUCCCCACCGAGAAAUAUGUGUUGUAUUAUUAUUAUUAAUAUUAUUAUUAUUAUUUUUGGUGCAAAAAAAGAGAAGACUUUGUUCUGUUCAUUCAGUUGCUACUGUGCAGCCGUUGUGUGCCUUUUAACGGGCAGGUUUUGGAUAGUUCUUAAUAAUGGUUACAAUAAUUUUUUGGGAAAAGAAUUACUUGCCACAUAAGAAUGUUGAAGUAAAAUGUCAUUUGUUGGGUUGGUUUUCAUCUGCGGAAAGGGGGGCGUGGCAUCUUCGCUUCAUGACCUGACUCCGAGGUGACCAGUGCUUGCAGGUGAGAGAGUGGUCAUUCGGGAACCAACUUGACGUUAACUGUUUUCAAUGGAUGGGGUAAGGGGACUGAAAAGCUCUUUUCCGGAUGGUAUUUCAAAAGGAAAUGUUUGUUGUGGUCCUCAGUUUGACAAGAAAAGGGCAAGCCGCAAAACGCUUAAGUAUACGUACAUCUCGGUUUUGAUUCUAAUACGGUCAACGCACUGAAUUCUUACAAAUAAAAACUGAAAAUUCCUUUUUAUUAGCGUGUUGGGCCUUUCACGCGAGUCCGUGGGCUUCUCCCUGUGCAUUUUCCAUAACCGCUGAAGUGUCCUGUUGGCCUCGCACAUCUCUGUAAGCACCACGAAGUAGAAUUGACAUUUGUGAGCCUCUUUCUAUUCUUGAACUCCUUCCGGGUUUGAUAAACACACUUGUUAAGCGAGUAACAUUUUGGGUGACUGUUACGCAGAAUAUAAUACUCAGGGAGUGUGCUGUUUUGUGGCCCCGACAACUGUUGAAUGGAAAGGCUGCUGGCUCCUUUUUAUAUUGUGAUUUUUUUUUUUAACGGCUACUUCACACAGUUGGACAGUCAAGGUUCUUGUUUUGCCGUGAGGUUAAUAGAGCUACACAGUUUGUGGGAGGUUUUCUAAACGUUACGACUGUUAACCAGCCUUAAGUGCACAAGCGAUCUGAAAAGGGCCUAUAAGAAAAGGAUUUGUCACCGGGGUCCCAUGCCGUUGCACCAGAUGAACCGGGAAAUGACUAAUUCAGAUGGUUCCAUGGAAAACGGGGGGUCUCAGCCAUUAAGGGCUUCCGUUGCCUGUUACUCUUUUUGUUUUGUUUUAAAUAAACGGGUUGAAAGUCAUUUCUGUAGCACUGAGGGAAGGGCGAGCCGUUCUACGGUAUCUGAUGGCACUGUAAACACAUCCACUCGAGAGAGGGUUGGCUUUCUGUUGCACAGAUGUACUCCGCUUUCAUGUUCUUAAAAGCCGCAGUAUCCAUUUAACCCACAGCUGCAAAAUUAGAUUUAAGAACAGAACAAUUAAAUUGUGGAAUAGCAGUUACAGCAUACGGCUCCCCUGCUUCUUAAAGCAGCUUUGAGGAUAAAGCAAGGCCAAUUCGUUCUGAGGCCUUCUCUAUUUUUGGUUGUUGUUCGUGUUAAUAAAAUCCAAUGCUACUAUAAUGUUAAAAAUGGACCGCGACACAUUCCGGAAUAUCAGACGUCUGAUUUAAAAAGUGGAUUAGGGGGAUGGGGGGGAGUCUGGGAAAUUGUGCAGCGUUGUAUGAUUGUUCACUUCGGCACAUGAACUUGAGGGACACUACAGGAGAGGCGAAGGGAGCCAUGUUUGUGCA